GCUGGGUGUGGUGGCUCACACCUGUAAUCCCAGCACUUCGGGAGGCAGAGGUGGGCGGAUCACUUGAGGCCAGGAGUUCAAGACCAGUCUGGCCAACAUGGUGAAACCCUGUCUCUACUAAAAAUGCAAAAAUUAGCGGAGAGUGGUGGCACACACUUGUAAUCCCAGCUACUCGGGAGGGUGAGGCAGAAGAAUCGCUUGAACCUGCGAGGUGGAGUUUGCAGCGUGCCAAAAUUGUGCUACUGCACUCUGGCCUGGGCAACAGAGUAAGACCCCAUCUCA
rnacentral:sRNA from 1 species